GACGAACGCUGGCGGCGUGCUUGACACAUGCAAGUCGUACGGUAAGGCCCUGUCUGUGUUGCGCGAGUGGCUGACGGGUGGGUAACACGCGAGUAACCUGCCCACAACUUUGUUAUAACGCUAUGAAACUGGUUCUAAUACUUGAUAUGUACUCCUUCUUCAUGGUGGGGGGGGGAAAGCUCCGGCGGUUGUGGAUGGACUCACGGCCUAUCAGCUUGUUGGUGGGGGAGGGGCCUACCAAGGCGGUGACGGGUAGCCGGCCUGAGAGGGUGACCGGCCACAUUGGGACUGAGAUACGGCCCAGACUCCUACGGGAGGCAGCAGUGGGGAAUAUUGCACAAAGGGCGCAAGCCCGAUGCAGCAAAGCCGCGGGCGGGAUGACGGGCUUUGGGUUGGAAAACGCCUUCAGCAGGGACGAAGCUUUUUGUGACGGUACCUGCAGAAGAAGCACCGGCUAACUACGUG
rnacentral:rRNA from 1 species